rnacentral:rRNA from 1 species
ACUCCUACGGGAGGCAGCAGUGGGGAAUAUUGCACAAUGGGCGCAAGCCUGAUGCAGCCAUGCCGCGUGUAUGAAGAAGGCCUUCGGGUUGUAAAGUACUUUCAGCAGUGAGGAAGGCAGGUACGUUAAUAGCGUGCUUGUUUGACGUUAGCUGCAGAAGAAGCACCGGCUAACUCCGUGCCAGGCAGCCGCGGUAAUACGGAGGGUGCGAGCGUUAAUCGGAAUUACUGGGCGUAAAGCGCAUGCAGGUGGUUUGUUAAGUCAGAUGUGAAAGCCCGGGGCUCAACCUCGGAAUUGCAUUUGAAACUGGCAGGACUAGAGUACUGUAGAGGGGGGUAGAAUUUCAGGUGUAGCGGUGAAAUGCGUAGAGAUCUGAAGGAAUACCCGGUGGCGAAAGGCGGCCCCCU